AACGUAGGAGACAAACGUUAUCCGGAGUUACUGGGCGUAAAGGGCGUGUAGGUGGUUGUGUAAGUCUGGCGUGAAAUUUUUCGGCUUAACCGGGAAAGGUCGUCGGAUACUGCAAAACUAGAGGACGGUAGAGGCGUGUGGAAUUCCGGGUGUAGUGGUGAAAUGCGUAGAGAUCCGGAGGAACACCAGUGGCGAAGGCGACACGCUGGGCCGUACCUGACACUGAUGCGCGACAGCAUGGGGAGCAAACAGG
rnacentral:rRNA from 1 species